rnacentral:siRNA from 1 species
UGCGAUACUUGGUGUGAAUUGC